UGAGUUUUCCUUUCGCACUCGAGUAAGAGUUGUGACAUAGGAUGUACAGAUAUGUAAAUAUAUUCCCUCGUAUUCUUCCUUUUGGGGUAUGAGACCAGUUGGUCUUUAUCUUCUUGUUUGACAAGUCUUCGUAUGAUGUAAAGUUGUAAACUAUUACACUUCUUUUUACUAAUUUGGAUAUUUCUCAUCUAGCCUGGAAUAUAAGAUAAAGAGGCAUAUGACAACCAGCACUGGAUGAUUUUGUUUUCUCAUAGUCUCUAAACCACUAAAGUCAAGGACUUAUCAAACAAAAAUUAAGCGAAGCCUCGCACAAGUUUUCCUCUUUCAAGUUACAACAAUAAAACCAAUUGUAAUCUCAGAUUGUGGAGUUUAGGGGUAAAGUGUACCAAUAGAGAGACUGUUUCCGAAAGACCCUAGGCUCAAUUUUCGGCAGGUUUGAACAGAAGAACUUUCCUCUCUAAAGUUGCAUGGCAUUAUUCACAUACAUAAGUAAUCGACAUACCAACAGUAGCGCAGCAGCACCACAAGUAUUACUAAGCUUCAAAGUUGACUUAGAAACAUAUUGGACGGUCCAUACAAGAUGGAAAUCUCAAGACAAAGCAAAUACUUGUCAUCCAUUUAACUCCGGACUCGGUUCGUCAUUCAGUUGCUUUUCCUUUGCUGCGUCUGCUGCUACUGCUGGUUUCUACAAGAUAACAAACCAUAGAAUCCACAUCGUCCCCAAAUAAGCUAUAAGCCUCAAUUACUCGUGGAUAGCUAAAACCCAUCGACAGCAUAAUCUGGAUGCAGUCGCUAAAGGUGGAAUCUGGCAAGCAGAGCCCAUCUUCCUGCUGUUUCUCACUUCCAGAUGACCCUACAAUUCAAUGUUAAAAUAGCAUAAUCUGGAUGCAGUCACUAAAGGUGGAAUCUGGCAAGCAGAGCCCAUGUUCCUGCCGUUUCUCACUUCCAGAUGACCCUACAAUUCAAUGUUAAAAUUUACAGUUCAAACCCGCAAACUUAUUGAUCUUACAUCGAUAGAGGUGCAACCAAGAAAAUAAAGUAAGAUACUUUAAACUUCGUCAAAUGUAAGCUCAAAC
rnacentral:lncRNA from 1 species